rfam:Triticum aestivum genome assembly, contig: Triticum_aestivum_CS42_TGACv1_scaffold_603523_7DL
AGAGCAUUUGUGAUGUGCUUCCUCUGUAUUCAUCCUUGCACUUUGAGCUAAGGUUUACCAGUGAAGGAAGCAUUGGGGAUAAUAUUCUGAGAUGCUC